rnacentral:rRNA from 1 species
AUGGCGGGCGCAGGCAGCUCCAAAGAUGUAGCCGACUCAGUGGAGAAGUGGAUGGCGUUCCCGUCCGGGUCCGGGUCCGGCGAGGAGAGCAGCUUCACCCUCCCGACGCCGCCGUCACUGUCCAGCGGGAAGGAGAUCGUCGAGGAGCCGGGCGGUUCAGGCAGCGGCAGCAAGCAGCAGGGGUGGUGGCCCAAGCCGGAGCAGCGGCGCCGCAGCAGCAGCGGCGCCGGCAUGGGCAGCGCCAAGCCGUCCAUGGAGGGGCGCGGGUCGUCCGACGCGCUGCCGCGGGUGUCGCAGGAGCUCAAGGACGCGCUGUCCAACCUGCAGCAGACGUUCGUCGUCUCCGACGCCACCCGCCCCGACAUCCCCAUCAUCUACGCCAGCGCCGGCUUCUACACCAUGACCGGGUACUCCGCCAAGGAGAUCAUAGGACGCAACUGCCGGUUUCUUCAGGGCCCGGAGACGGACCAGAACGAGGUGUCCAAGAUCAGGGACGCCGUGAAGGCCGGCAAGAGCUUCUGCGGCCGGCUGCUCAACUACCGCAAGGACGGCACGCCGUUCUGGAAUCUCCUCACCGUCACCCCCAUCCGCGACGACAACGGCAAGGUCAUCAAGUUCAUCGGGAUGCAGGUGGAGGUGAGCAAGUACACGGAAGGGCUGAGCGACAAGCGCAUGCGGCCGAACGAGAUGCCGGUGUCGCUCAUCCGCUACGACGACCGGCAGAAGGAGAAGGCCAUGUCGUCGAUGACGGAGGUCGUGCAGACAGUGAAGCACCGGCGCGCGGACUCGCCGGAGCGGGAGCCGCCCAAGGCCAGCGACGCGGACAAGAUCAGCUCGCCGCUCGUGGCUCCUGCCACCCCGUCCGGCGGCGGCUACAAGUCGCCCUACUGGGACCUGAAGAAGGAGGAGUCGCGGAUGAGCAAGAUGAUGAGCGGGCGCAAGUCCGGCCGCUCCUCCCUCAUGGGGUUCAAGGUGGGGAAGAGGAGCUCCGUGGGGAGCAGGGAGCCGGCGGUGGUGGAGGCGCCGGAGUUGAAGAUGACGGUGGAGCGCACCAACAGCUGGGAGCGCGCGGAGAGGGAGAAGGACAUCAGGCAGGGGCUGGACCUCGCCACCACGCUCGAGCGUAUCGAGAAGAACUUUGUCAUCACGGACCCCAGGCUCCCAGACAACCCAAUUAUUUUCGCGUCUGAUAGCUUCCUGGAGCUGACGGAGUACACGCGCGAAGAGAUCCUGGGGCGGAACUGCAGAUUUCUUCAGGGAUCGGAGACCGACCAGACCACCGUUGACAAGAUCAGGGAGGCCAUCAGGGAGCAGAAGGAGGUCACCGUCCAGCUAAUUAACUACACCAAGAGCGGGAAGAAGUUCUGGAACUUGUUUCACCUGCAGCCUAUGUGGGAUCAGAAGGGGGAGCUUCAGUACUUUAUCGGCGUGCAACUUGAUGGAAGUGAUCAUGUUGAACCCCUCAGGAACCGACUCUCGGAGAACACUGAGAUACAAAGUGCCAAACUGGUCAAAGCUACAGCAGGGAAUGUGGAUGAAGCAGUCAGGGAGCUUCCUGAUGCCAACUUGAGACCAGAGGACCUGUGGGCAAUGCACUCACUAUCUGUUUCUCCAAAACCUCACAAACGGAAUAACUCUUCUUGGAGAGCUAUAGAAAAGAUUAUAGAAACUGGGGAGAAGAUUAGCUUGAAACACUUCAAACCAGUUAAACCUCUGGGGUGUGGGGAUACUGGCAGUGUACACUUGGUUGAGUUGCAAGGUAGUGGUGAAUUAUUUGCGAUGAAGGCAAUGGACAAAUCAGUGAUGUUGAACCGCAACAAGGUGCACCGAGCUAUUAUUGAAAGAGAAAUAUACUCUCUGUUGGAUCAUCCUUUUCUUCCAACAUUGUAUACUUCAUUUCAGACGCCAACACAUGUUUGUCUUAUAACAGACUUUUGUCCCGGAGGAGAAUUGUUUGCGGCACUGGAUAAGCAACCCUUGAAAAUUUUCAGAGAAGAUUCUGCAAGGUUUUAUGCUGCGGAGGUUGUAAUUGGUCUCGAGUAUCUUCAUUGUCUUGGUAUUAUAUACCGUGAUUUGAAACCAGAAAACAUUUUGCUCCAAGCCGAUGGGCACGUUGUGCUGACUGAUUUUGACCUCUCAUUUUUGACUUCUUCGAAACCCCAUGUUAUAAAGCAUUCGACAUCGCUAAAACGAAGGAGAUCUCAAGAAUUUAUGCCGCCUUCAUUUGUCUCGGAUCCUUCCACUCCAUCGAAUUCGUUUGUUGGAACUGAAGAAUACAUUGCACCAGAGGUCAUCACAGGUGCAGGACAUACAAGUGCCAUUGAUUGGUGGGCUCUUGGAAUUCUAUUGUAUGAGAUGCUGUAUGGGCGUACACCUUUUCGAGGAAAGAACAGGAAGAAGACAUUUUAUAACAUCCUGCACAAAGAUCUUACGUUUCCUAGUAGCAUCCCGGUUAGCCUGGAGGCGAAGCAACUAAUCCAUGGACUGCUUCAGAGAGAUCCCUCUUCUCGCAUAGGUUCAAAUACUGGUGCAAAUGAUAUCAAGGAACAUCCAUUUUUUGAAGACAUCUAUUGGCCACUUAUACGUUGCAUGAGUCCCCCGGAGCUUGAUGUUCCGUUGAAGCUGAUUGGCAAGGAGUCUCAACCAAAAGUGAAGCCCGAGGAAGGUGUUAUUGAUACAUUUUAG